CCAGCUCAGGUCCCAGGGUGCUGUCCUGUAACAAUCCCCAACUCAGAUCCCAGGGUGCUGUCCUGUAACAAUCCCCAGCUCAGGUCCCAGGGGUGCUGUCCUGUAACAAUCCCCAACUCAGGUCCCAGGGUGCUGUCCUGUAACAAUCCCCAGCUCAGGUCCCAGGGUGCUGUCCUGUAACAAUCCCCAGCUCAGGUCCCAGGGUGCUGUCCUGUAACAAUCCCCAACUCAGGUCCCAGGGUGCUGUCCUGUAACAAUCCCCAGCUCAGGUCCCAGGGGUGCUGUCCUGUAACAAUCCCCAACCCACGCUGGGUGCCAGCUGUAAGAAUCCAUGUCUGGCUGGGCUGUCCAUGUCCAAUCCAGCAGCUAUGGACCUCAGCCCACACAAUCUUACAGGGACAAAGGCAAAAGACCAGAAGUGCUCUCCACGUGGAGACUAACAUCCUACAUUUAUUUCCAAGGUGGGAAAGAGGCCAGGCCAGCUGCCUCUAGGGGGUUUUAAGAGCUUGGAAAGGGGUCUGGAGGAGAGGGACUGCAGCCAGUGGGAUACCAGUGAGGAGGGUAAGAUGAGGGACUGACCAGGGCAGAGACCCCCACCAGGGGUACUGGGGAGAGGAGUGUGUGAGGGAAAACCAUGUGAUAAGAGAUGGGAAGAACAAACCACGUGACAUAACAUAAACUGUUAAGUGCACUAUAAAAACUACUCUGCAAAUCUCCAAUCACCCAGUGCAACACAACACAAAAUGAACUAUUCAGUGCAACACAACACAAAAUGAACUAUUUAGUGACCACAGCCAAGGGGAUACCAGUGAGGAGGGUGAGGGGAUGGACUGACCAGGGCAGAGACCCCCACCAGGGGUACUGGGGAGAGGAGUGUGUGAGGGAAAACCACGUGAUAAGAGAUGGGAAGAACAAACCAUGUGAUAUAACAGAUUAUUCAGUGCAAUAUAAAAACUACUCAGUGCAAAUCUCCAAUCACCCAGUGCAAAACAAGAAUAAUAAUAAAAAAAUAAACUAUUCAGUGCAACACAACACUAAAUAAACUAUUCAGUGCAGUACAGCACUGUCCCUGCAG